rnacentral:lncRNA from 1 species
UUGGACCAUGAAGGGCAAAAACAAAACAAAAAAAAUCACAAAAAAAAAUUCACAAAACAAAAAACAAAAUAAUAAUAAUAAAAAAAAAAAGAUGUUCAGAUCCAAGCAACAAAAACAACCAACCAAACCGAGAAGCAUCCACCACGUCCGAGUCCGUGAGCCCGCGAGCCGCCGCACCCACCGCAGCGAGGGAGCAAGUCUGCGGGAAGAUGGGGGGUGGAGGGGUAGGGGGGCGCCUCAUUUUCUACCAAGUCUUCCUUCCGGGCCCCACUCGGGGCAGCGUGGGGCCAGUGGCGAGAAGAUGCAGGCCCGAGCAGGAGGAGCGGCCAGCAGGACUUGACCUUGGCUGCUGAUGGUGCCAACAGAGGGAACGGGCGCGGGGAGGGGGUCGGCUUCUCAUCCCAGGGCUUCGGCUGUGCCCGGUCACCCCCCUACCCGUGUCUCCUGCUCUGGGCCCCAGCUACCCCUCCUGCCUCACCGCCAACACCCGUGUCCUGCAAACCUGAGGAAGAGGAGGUGGCAGGGACUGACCAGCAGCAGCCCUGGGCUCCGAACCCAACACCAAGGGCUGAUGUCUUUCCAGAACCCUGGGUCUGGCCCAGGGGAAGGAAGGCCAGCCUCACCGCUGCAGCUGGAACAGAGGGACGGGACUGGCCAGCGCCUGGCUGCAGGGACGACUCUUUUUGAUUGGCCGGCCCCCCUGGGCACAGAGGACCAGGACAGGCAGCUUCUUUCUCCCAGGAAGCCAGACGGCCAGGGGGAGUCAGAAGACCCUUCUGGGAGAGACUCUAGCACCCCCCAUCCUCUCCUCCAGACUGUUGUCUCCUCCAGCCCAUCCCGAGUCUGGAGGCAGGGCUCCUAGCCUGCGGGUAAGGUCUGUGAAGUGACCGGCAGGGUAUAAGGCGGCAGCCCCACCCC